rnacentral:rRNA from 1 species
UACGGAGGGAGCAAGCGUUACUCGGAAUUAUUGGGCGUAAAGGGCGCGUAGGCGGUUCGAUAAGUCAGCUGUGAAAACCAUGGGCUUAACUCAUGGCCUGCAGUUGAGACUGUCGGGCUGGAGUGUGGGAGAGGAGAGUGGAAUUCCUGGUGUAGCGGUGAAAUGCGUAGAUAUCAGGAGGAACACCGGUGGCGAAGGCGGCUCUCUGGACCACAACUGACGCUGAGGCGCGAAAGCUAGGGGAGCAAACAGG